CACUGUUGUUGCCUCCAGUGCCCAGGGCUGACUGGAAAGAUAAGGGAAACUGAGGUACAGAGGAGGGGAAGAGCCAUGAUUGACUUCAUGCAACUCAUCAGGGAGGGCACCCAGAUUUACACGUGGAUCUGUGUCACUACAAAGCAGUGCCCUUGACUUAACACUCCAUCACUUUCCAUACAAGCUUCAAACUGAACUCCACCUUCAUUAGCUUGGUGAGCGCAGACCGCUGAACUCUUCUAACAUCUGUCUUAGAGGUUAUGUGUUGGCUGCUGCGUUCAGAGCUAUCCUAAAAGUAACUGAAACAAGGGAUUUUUGACUCCAUGGCUAAACAGUUUCUGGGGAGCAGACCUUGAUUCUACCAUUACUUAGAAAACAAAUCAAAUUAGAGUCAGACUAGUGAUGUUGUCAGAACUUUUCAAACAUAAAGACCCAUGAAUGGACAUGUACACUUGGGAUCAAAAGCACUCUCCUCUUCCAAACAGCAGUCUACACUUGGCCUUUUGAGAGGCUGAGCUAUUGCCAAGGACUAUUUAGAUGGAAGAUUUGAUUGUUGGUCAAGGAGACACUGAAGAAGAGAUAAGAUGGUGUACUGGAAUGGAAGGAAGGCUCUGGACAUCAGAACUUUGGGCCACUGUACUGCUGUGUAAAUUUGCGAAACCUACUUAAUCCUUAUGGACUGUUUCCUCAUCUGGAAAAUGAGUUAAAUGAGAUCCAUUUUAUAAAAUUGUUGUAAUGAUUAUAUAAGUAAACACAUAGUAAUAUUAUUUGAUUUUAUUAUUAUUAUUAUGACUUGUCACUCAAAGCAUUUAGCUUUGGUGUCUCUAAUAUUCAGUACUCACAUUUAUGUUCAAAUUUGGAUGCUAGGUAGAAAUGAAGACUUUGUAUCUGCCACCAGAGAAGGCUAUUUAUUAUUUGUCAUUGCCUGUCACGAACUCACAAAGAUAGUAUUUGCCUAUCCAAAGGUAUCUAAUUCCUCAGUUUCUUAUGUGACUAUAAAGGGGCCUACUUUGAUCUUACCAUGAACUCAAAUCCUUUCGAAAUUUCAAUUUGUC
rnacentral:lncRNA from 10 species